GAGAGUGUAGCUCAGUCGGUAGAGCAACGGACUUUUAAUCCGUUGGUCCAGGGUUCGAGUCCCUGCACUCUCAC
rnacentral:tRNA from 5 species